rnacentral:rRNA from 1 species
UACGUAGGGUGCAGGCGUUAAUCGGAAUUACUGGGCGCAAAGCGUGCGCAGGCGGUUCGUUGUGUCGGCGGUGAAAGCCCCGGGCUCAACCUGGGAAUGGCCGUUGAAACUGGCGAACUGGAGUGUGGCAGAGGGGGGUGGAAUUCCGCGUGUAGCAGUGAAAUGCGUAGAGAUGCGGAGGAACACCGAUGGCGAAGGCAGCCCCCUGGGCUGACACUGACGCUCAGGCACGAAAGCGUGGGGAGCAAACAGG